AGUGAACGCUGGCGGUAGGCCUAACACAUGCAAGUCGAACGGCAGCACAGUAAGAGCUUGCUCUUACGGGUGGCGAGUAGCGGACGGGUGAGGAAUACAUCGGAAUCUACUUUUUCGUGGGGGAUAACGUAGGGAAACUUACGCUAAUACCGCAUACGACCUACGGGUGAAAGCAGGGGAUCUUCGGACCUUGGGCGAUUGAAUGAGCCGAUGUCGGAUUAGCUAGUUGGCGGGGUAAAGGCCCACCAAGGCGACGAUCCGUAGCUGGUCUGAGAGGAUGAUCAGCCACACUGGAACUGAGACACGGUCCAGACUCCUACGGGAGGCAGCAGUGGGGAAUAUUGGACAAUGGGCGCAAGCCUGAUCCAGCCAUACCGCGUGGGUGAAGAAGGCCUUCGGGUUGUAAAGCCCUUUUGUUGGGAAAGAAAAGCAGCAGGUUAAUACCCCGCUGUUCUGACGGUACCCAAAGAAUAAGCACCGGCUAACUUCGUG
rnacentral:rRNA from 1 species